ACGAACGCUGGCGGCAUGCCUAACACAUGCAAGUCGAACGAGACCUUCGGGUCUAGUGGCGCCCGGGUGCGUAACGCGUGGGAACCUGCCCUUAGGUUCGGAAUAACUCCCCGAAAGGGGUGCUAAUACCGGAUAAUGUCUUCGGACCAAAGAUUUAUCGCCUUUGGAUGGGCCCGCGUUGGAUUAGCUAGUUGGUAGGGUAAAAGCCUACCAAGGCGACGAUCCAUAGCUGGUCUGAGAGGAUGAUCAGCCACACUGGGACUGAGACACGGCCCAGACUCCUACGGGAAGCAGCAGUGGGGAAUAUUGGACAAUGGGCGAAAGCCUGAUCCAGCAAUGCCGCGUGAGUGAUGAAGGCCUUAGGGUUGUAAAGCUCUUUUACCCGGGAUGAUAAUGACAGUACCGGGAGAAUAAGCUCCGGCUAACUCCGUG
rnacentral:rRNA from 1 species